GCAUUUCGGUUAUUUGUAUAUAGCGAUUAAAUGCUGUAUAAAUAUAUAUACCAUAAAACAUGCAUUUUUCGGUUUUUUUUAUUGAAAUAUACAAUGAUAUGCAUUUUAUUCAGGGUAUGCAAAAAAAAAAAAAAAAACAACACUGCCAUUUACCUCAACAUGAGACAAUUCAUGGACACAAUUCACAAAAACAGUAAUCAAAAGAUACAAAACAACAUACCAAUGUAAUUAAAUCCUAGCCCUAGUUAUCACAUAAAGUAAAUUUAGUUUAACCUAAAAUAAUGGUAAUAAUACUUUCCCACAUCUACAAUCGUUUAUUGAACUAACAAGACGUAUUUUCAAAUAAAUUUACAAUAAUUGUUCAAACAAUACGCUCGCUGUGGAGGAUGUGGACCAAUCUCUCACUACAUCCCCGUACAUAAUCUUAUAACUAAAAUAAAAUAAAAUAGUCACAUUACGUUAAUUGCCACGGUAUUGUGACACGAUUCUUCGAACCCGAGGGUCUGGAUCCCCGUUCAAGUCAGUUGCGAGCCGGCCGGCACUCGCCUCGGUCUCUCUGUUUCUCUCAUCCGGUUCCGGAUGAUGGAGUUUAUGUACUCUACCGUGACGCAGAAGGAUCAUGCGCAGAGGGUGAAAGCAGCUGAGAGUUGAUGCCUGUCGCUGUCUGAGUUCCGGGAUGGGAUGACCGUUGGACCAAAAGACAGUUUCCGGACGUCGCGUUAAAAUACUAAAGUUAUCUAAGUUGUAUUUGAUCUGUCAACUAUCUUUGUAAGGCAAGCCUAUUAAAUUUAGCAUUGCUUUGUGAAAAAUAAAAUAACGAAUACUUGAAUACGAGUAUUAUCUUAGCACUUUUUCAACCAUAUUAAAUGAAUAACUAAUUAAAAUAGUUUUGAUUAUUUAUUCUUUUUUUUUUUUUUUUGAUUAAAAAGCAGUAUCAGAUAUAUUUUACGUUUAUUUUUUUAGCACAUCUGUUCAUUCUAAAUUAAUUUUCAUAAUUUUAAAAGUUUUAAACUAUAUAAGAGAAACAAAACAGAAACUCAGUAAUUUAUGAC